GAUGAAGAACGUAGCGAAAUGCGAUACUUGGUGUGAAUUGCAGAAUCCCGUGAACCAUCGAGUCUUUGAACGCAAGUUGCGCCCGAAGCCAUUAGGCCGAGGGCACGCCUGCCUGGGCGUCACACGUCGUUGCCCCCCCAUCUACUCCUUCGGGAUUGCGGGGGGCGGAUGAUGGCCUCCCGUGCGCCUCGUCGCGCGGUUGGCAUAAAUGCCAAGUCCUCGGCGACGCACGCCACGACAAUCGGUGGUUGCGAAACCUCGGUUGCCCGUCGUGUGCGGUCGUCGCGCAUCGAGGGCUCGAAAAAAUUGCCGGGCUCCGGCUCGGCUUUCAACGCGACCCCAGGUCAGGCGGGGUCACCCGCUGAAUUUAAGCAUAUCAAUAAGCGGAGGA
rnacentral:misc_RNA from 1 species